GACGAACGCUGGCGGCGUGCUUAACACAUGCAAGUCGAGCGGUAAGGCCCUUUCGGGGGUACACGAGCGGCGAACGGGUGAGUAACACGUGGGUGACCUGCCCUUAGCUCUGGGAUAAGCCUGGGAAACUGGGUCUAAUACCGGAUAUGACUCCAUGACGCAUGUUGUGGGGUGGAAAGCCUUGUGCGGCUAGGGAUGGGCCCGCGGCCUAUCAGCUUGUUGGUGGGGUGANGGCCUACCAAGGCGACGACGGGUAGCCCGCCUGAGAGGGCGACCGGCCACACUGGGACUGAGACACGGCCCAGACUCCUACGGGAGGCAGCAGUGGGGAAUCUUGCGCAAUGGGCGAAAGCCUGACGCAGCGACGCCGCGUGGGGAUGACGGCCU
rnacentral:rRNA from 1 species